GAUGAACGCUGGCGGCGUGCCUAAUACAUGCAAGUCGAGCGAACGGACGAGAAGCUUGCUUUUCUGAUGUUAGCGGCGGACGGGUGAGUAACACGUGGAUAACCUACCUAUAAGACUGGGAUAACUUCGGGAAACCGGAGCUAAUACCGGAUAAUAUUUUGAACCGCAUGGUUCAAAAGUGAAAGACGGUCUUGCUGUCACUUAUAGAUGGAUCCGCGCUGCAUUAGCUAGUUGGUAAGGUAACGGCUUACCAAGGCAACGAUGCAUAGCCGACCUGAGAGGGUGAUCGGCCACACUGGAACUGAGACACGGUCCAGACUCCUACGGGAGGCAGCAGUGGGGAAUCUUCCGCAAUGGGCGAAAGCCUGACGGAGCAACGCCGCGUGAGUGAUGAAGGUCUUCGGAUCGUAAAACUCUGUUAUUAGGGAAGAACAUAUGUGUAAGUAACUGUGCACAUCUUGACGGUACCUAAUCAGAAAGCCACGGCUAACCACGUG
rnacentral:rRNA from 1 species